GAGUGAGUAGCAAAAUUACUCUGAUCAAGUUUGUUACAAAAAUGUUCAAGUCAAACAUGUUUGCAUCACAUGAACCUACUCAAUCGUAGUGUGUAUGAGUGUUCUGCUACCAAAUGCCAGAAGGCACAUAAUUGUUUAUAAAUCGUGGUACAUCCGACCAGGAGUGGUAAUUGCAAGGAAAAAAAUUAAAAUAUGAACAGACACCUUCCUUGAUACAGAAUUCUCGCAUAACUCCAUACAGCUCACUGUUUGACGAACUAAAUGCGAAAAAAAAAACAGAUUGAAGAAGGGAUGCAAGCAAGUGAGUGCCAUCCAUCAUUUUAGCAGCAAAUCUCUGAGCUGAAAAGGUACGGAAAUGGUGGAAUUUCAUCUUUUUCAGCCAACCCUUCCUUCCUAGUAACAUAAUUCUCCCAUCGGAACCCAGAGGGGCCAAUUUAAAGGCAUAGGUGCUAGGAGGGUCCCUAACUUUUGACCUUGCAGCAUAAAAAGUUGCUUUGUAAGAGAUCAGUCCAAGAAAAGGGGUUAGGAUUGAAUUUUGUAUACAUAUAACUAAAAGCUAAUAAUGUUCAGUUCAAUACUUGCAGGCUGCAGCAGCUUCAGAGUACAAUAUAAAAGGUUCAAUACUUGAGAAAUUUUUAAGAGUAAGAGAAAUCCACUACAUCUGACAUUAUUCUACAUUCCCCUCCAAAGCCAUUUUGCAUACUGUACCAAAUGGCUUAUGCUAAUCAUUAAAUCUGAGGCCUCCGUAGUGUAUUAAUGGCCAUACCAAAACUUGCAUCAUCAUAUUCAUUGUCAUUAGUCUUUUAAUUCCUUCAGCUUUAAAUGUCAAAAAUGGGUUGGCCAAGGUCGGCGGCCAGCCGUGUAGGUCUUUUGCCCUUUCUUUCUUACUUAAUAAAAGGAACAAGUUUUCUCAUCUAAAUAUGCAGAUAAUCUUUUAUAGAACAAAAGUGUUAACCUAUGCAGUCAAAGCAUUUACUUGCAUGAGAGAAAUAUCACUAUGCCUUUUUGACAACUAUUUACACAGAUAAGCAAUAAGAGAGAGAGAGAGAGAGAGCUUCCCUAUCAUGACUUGAAUUCAAUCUACUAACAGUCGGAGUCUAAUGCUAGUUGUUUUCUACAUGAUCAGCGUCAAACAACCUUGUUACGUUAAGAGUAUAAGUCAAUAUGUCAUGUAACAGUAACACAGUUUUAACACUAUUACUUAAGUUAGAUGUGUUAUGUUUAUCAAACUUAAGUAAGAAUAUGAACAACUACUUAACAUUAGCCUUGCGAGAUGAACUUGUAAAGAGGAAAGUGGGAGAGAUCAGCUCAACAUAUUUGUUACCAUGUUACCUUGGUUUAUAAAAGAUGCGUUUUACAAGAUUUUGCCAAUUGGAGCUCUAAAUGAUAAACCAGAGCUUGCCGACACUUGACUUCAAUAAGUUAGAAAUUAAACCCUUUAAAUACCAGAGACACAGAACAAAAGAAAGAAAAAGGGGCUACGUGGUGCCGGCGUGCAUUCCAUUGCGGCCAAUGUAUCUGUUUUGGAUGACAAAUGUCCUCCCAUUCACUUCUAUGAACAAAAUAAGACUUGCACUUUAAGGGAAAUAAUAUUAGUAUAAGAGGUCCACCUUGGCAAAAGUAGCAGCCCCUCUUAACACUGUUAAAAGAAAGGGAAGGCGGGACAUGUGAUCAUAAUCACUAUAUUAUGUUUAUUUCUGAAGGGUGUACUUUUUCAAAUUUGCAUUUAGGUGUUUUCCUUUCAGGUGAAUUCUUUACAAUCUAUAUUUGGUUUGGUUUGGUUUGGUGAGAGGAAUGUGCUAAACUAAGUGUUGCAAUUAGAGCUGAGAUGGGGAACAGUAACACCUCUGGGUUUCAAGGUAUGUAAUUAUGGCAGGGGAUUCCUUUAUUUUUUCCUAUUUUUCAUACUUGUUUCCUCUCUGGUUGGCUCAUGAAUGGUGGCUGAAGAUGCAGCAGAAGAAAAUUCUAACACAAAGAUUGAAGGAACUCAACCAAAAUCUGUGCAAGAACAUGAUGAGCAAGAAGGUACAAGAGGACACUUUGUUGAUCAAAGUGAAGGAAGUGAUGAAAAUGGAGGAAGAAUGUUAGGUUCUGAGGAUCCAAAGGAAGAGGAGGGAGCAAAAGCCCGGAAUCGAGAUGGAAAAGGUUCGGUUUGCUAAUAUACCUAAUGACAACAACUUUAUUUUGGUAUAAAGUUGUGUUGAUUAGUUUAUCCUGGCAAUCAAUAUUUUUUCAGUUGUUUCAGAGCAAGAGAAUGAUAGGCUGGAGAGCCAAGUUCAUGAUCUUAUGUCUGUCGAAUCUGAGGAACCAAAGCCCGAAUAUGAAGAAGAAAGAAGUAAAGACAGUAAUCCUCAACUAAAUAUUGUGAGGCAACAAACAGAAGAAAACAAGUCUGAUUCUAUGGAACAACCAGAAUCUAGUAAGCCAGGUUAACCAACUAAACUUCACAAUCCAUGAACAAUCAUUUCUUCUUAAACGAAUCAAUACGAUCAUUAGUUUUGAGCAGGAAGAAUGAAGCUUACCUAUUUAUCUGCAGCAGAGGAGGUGGAGGAGACGUUGAGCUCAGGUUCAACUGUUAGAUCCCAUGCACAUGAUGAGCAAGAACAUCAAGGUUCUGAUGAAGUAGAAUCAAACCUGACUGAAAACCAAGGUAACUCAACUUCCACCAAUAUGGAGAGGUUGGAGAGCCAAGUUCACGAUCCUUUGCUAGCCGAAUCUAAGAAGCCAAACCUGGACUACAAUGGAGAUAGCAGCAAAUGUGGCAAUUCUCAACCGAAUUUAUUGAGGGAAGAGAUGGAAGAACGCAUAUCUGAUGUAGAUGAGCAGCAGGAACUGCAUAAGCCAGGUUAGCCUACUUAACUUCAUAAUCCAUGUCAUGAAGAACCAAUAAAUCUAUCUGACGAAAAAACUUCUACACUCUCUCCUUUCUAUCUGCAUCAGUGGAGGCAGAGAUGAGCAUAGGAUCAC
rnacentral:lncRNA from 1 species